rnacentral:rRNA from 1 species
CAGUCGCCGCGUGAAUACGGAGGGUGCAAGCGUUAUCCGGAUUUAUUGGGUUUAAAGGGUCCGUAGGCGGAUCUGUAAGUCAGUGGUGAAAUCUCACAGCUUAACUGUGAAACUGCCAUUGAUACUGCAGGUCUUGAGUAAAUUUGAAGUGGCUGGAAUAAGUAGUGUAGCGGUGAAAUGCAUAGAUAUUACUUAGAACACCAAUUGCGAAGGCAGGUCACUAAGAUUUAACUGACGCUGAUGGACGAAAGCGUGGGGAGCGAACAGGAUUAGAUACCCGCGUAGUCCCUGUCUCUUAUAC